CGUGCGGUUGAGCAGCUGGGACAGCUCCACCGCGUUCGCGCUGCGGUCCUCGGAGAUCACGUCGCCCUCGGCGAUCGGCUGCGCCGCCGUCCCC
rnacentral:tRNA from 1 species